UCAAACUGUAACUUUAGGAAAAAAUAUGCCAAAAGAACAUUUGUAAUUACUUAUGAACUUUUUCUACUUAUUUCUUUAGACCAAAUCCCCUGUACACAUAUAGUGACUCAGAGGAUGAGCAGCCCACAAAAAAACGGUUUCCCCAGGCACCUCGAGUGAAAAUACCAGCCCUCACCAGUCCGCAGUCUUCCCCCCAGCCCACUGACAGCAGGCAUCAUAAUGCCCCUCCCAGCUUCCGGCACCUUUCGCCACUCCGGCAGAACACUCCAAACGACACAGCUUUGCAAUCUCCCCAGCAUGCAGAGUCUGAUGUUGAGGCCUUCCCUAUAGAUGAUUCCAGAGACUCUGUGAGGCCACUAUUACAAG